GCAGUCGAGCGAAUCUGAGGGAGCUUGCUCCCAAGAUUAGCGGCGGACGGGUGAGUAACACGUGGGCAACCUGCCUGUAAGACUGGGAUAACUCCGGGAAACCGGGGCUAAUACCGGAUAAUAUCUAUUUAUACAUAUAAUUAGAUUGAAAGAUGGUUCUGCUAUCACUUACAGAUGGGCCCGCGGCGCAUUAGCUAGUUGGUGAGGUAACGGCUCACCAAGGCGACGAUGCGUAGCCGACCUGAGAGGGUGAUCGGCCACACUGGGACUGAGACACGAUCAAAAUUCCUACGGGAGGCAGCAGUAGGGAAUCUUCCGCAAUGGACGAAAGUCUGACGGAGCAACGCCGCGUGAGUGAUGAAGGUUUUCGGAUCGUAAAACUCUGUUGUUAGGGAAGAACAAGUACCGGAGUAACUGCCGGUACCUUGACGGUACCUAACCAGAAAGCCACGGCUAACUACGUGCCAGCAGCCGCGGUAAUACGUAGGUGGCAAGCGUUGUCCGGAAUUAUUGGGCGUAAAGCGCGCGCAGGCGGUUCCUUAAGUCUGAUGUGAAAGCCCACGGCUCAACCGUGGAGGGUCAUUGGAAACUGGGGAACUUGAGUGCAGAAGAGGAAAGUGGAAUUCCAAGUGUAGCGGUGAAAUGCGUAGAGAUUUGGAGGAACACCAGUGGCGAAGGCGACUUUCUGGUCUGUAACUGACGCUGAGGCGCGAAAGCGUGGGGAGCAAACAGGAUUAGAUACCCUGGUAGUCCACGCCGUAAACGAUGAGUGCUAAG
rnacentral:rRNA from 1 species